ACGCCACCUUCGGCUUGGGCGACGCUGCAUACAGCUAGAGUUGCAGACGAGAAACGCGGUCGGCGUCCGAGCGCGUGCCACUCAUCCACGCGAAAGGAAAAGGAACAGCAUCCAAUCCAAAGCCUAUCCGUAGCAGAAAGCCUGAGCAGCCCCCUGAGCGACAAAGCGACGUCAUCAUUCGAAGCUAACGAAGAGCUCAAGCAUGUCCCGCAUUGUCCGAAUGGCUCUCUUCUCGCGGAAAUUCACCACCUCGGUCAUCCGCAGGAGCGCCCACGAUGAUCACGACACGUCCGGCAUCGUUGGCUCGAAUCUGCCGUUUAAGACCGACAACCGCUUCGGGCUAACCAUUAAGUUCGCCCUGUUCUUCGGCAUUCCUUUCGCGAUACCUUACUACGCUGUUAGGUUCCAUUUGACAAAGAAGACCGCUUGAAGUCGGAUUAUGUUACGCAAGAGCAAGCCCUUGUCUCUGUACCGGACUCUGUUCAAGAGCAGAAGCUAAGCUGUAAGCGUUCAUGUAAAAAAAAAUGAACACAAUUUUGUUCUGUGCUA